rnacentral:rRNA from 1 species
GCGGCUAAUACAUGCAAGUCGGACCGGGAUUUCAUUUUAGCUUGCUAAGAUGAAUGAGAGUGGCGCACGGGUGCGUAACGCGUGAGCAACCUACCCAUAUCAGGGGGAUAGCCCGAAGAAAUUCGGAUUAAUACCGCAUAACACAGUUAUUUCGCAUGGGAUUACUGUUAAAUAUUUAUAGGAUAUGGAUGGGCUCGCGUGACAUUAGCUAGUUGGUGAGGUAACGGCUCACCAAGGCGACGAUGUCUAGGGGCUCUGAGAGGAGAAUCCCCCACACUGGUACUGAGACACGGACCAGACUCCUACGGGAGGCAGCAGUAAGGAAUAUUGGUCAAUGGGCGGAAGCCUGAACCAGCCAUGCCGCGUGCAGGAUGACUGCCCUAUGGGUUGUAAACUGCUUUUGUCGAGGAAUAAACCUAUCUACGUGUAGAUAGUUGAACGUACUCGAAGAAUAAGGAUCGGCUAACUCCGUGCCAGCAGCCGCGGUAAUACGGAGGAUCCGAGCGUUAUCCGGAUUUAUUGGGUUUAAAGGGUGCGUAGGCGGCACUUUAAGUCAGGAGUGAAAGACGGCAGCUCAACUGUCGCAGUGCUCUUGAUACUGAAGUGCUUGAAUGCCGUUGAAGAUGGCGGAAUGAGACAAGUAGCGGUGAAAUGCAUAGAUAUGUCUCAGAACUCCGAUUGCGAAGGCAGCUAUCUAAGCGGUGAUUGACGCUGAUGCACGAAAGCGUGGGGAUCAAACAGGAUUAGAUACCCUGGUAGUCCACGCCCUAAACGAUGAUGACUCGAUGUUAGCGAUAUACAGUUAGCGUCCAAGCGAAAGCGUUAAGUCAUCCACCUGGGGAGUACGCCCGCAAGGGUGAAACUCAAAGGAAUUGACGGGGGCCCGCACAAGCGGAGGAGCAUGUGGUUUAAUUCGAUGAUACGCGAGGAACCUUACCCGGGCUUGAAAGUUACUGAAUAACUCAGAGAUGAGUUAGUCCUUCGGGACAGGAAACUAGGUGCUGCAUGGCUGUCGUCAGCUCGUGCCGUGAGGUGUUGGGUUAAGUCCCGCAACGAGCGCAACCCC